UACGAAGGGGGCUAGCGUUGCUCGGAAUCACUGGGCGUAAAGCGCACGUAGGCGGAUUGCUAAGUCAGGGGUGAGAUCCUGGAGCUCAACUCCAGAACUGCCUUUGAUACUGGCGAUCUUGAGUCCGGGAGAGGUGAGUGGAACUGCGAGUGUAGAGGUGAAAUUCGUAGAUAUUCGCAAGAACACCAGUGGCGAAGGCGGCUCACUGGCCCGGUACUGACGCUGAGGUGCGAAAGCGUGGGGAGCAAACAGG
rnacentral:rRNA from 1 species